rnacentral:rRNA from 1 species
CAGCCGCCGCGGUAAUACGAAGGGGGCUAGCGUUGUUCGGAUUUACUGGGCGUAAAGGGUGCGUAGGCGGAUUGUUAAGUCAGGGGUGAAAUCCCGAGGCUCAACCUCGGAACUGCCUUUGAUACUGGCGAUCUUGAGUCCGGGAGAGGUGAGUGGAACUGCGAGUGUAGAGGUGAAAUUCGUAGAUAUUCGCAAGAACACCGGUGGCGAAGGCGGCUCACUGGCCCGGUACUGACGCUGAGGCACGAAAGCGUGGGGAGCAAACAGGAUUAGAUACCCGCGUAGUCCCUGUCUCUUAUAC